rnacentral:rRNA from 1 species
GAUGAACGCUGGCGGCGUGCCUAAUACAUGCAAGUCGAGCGAACGGACGAGAAGCUUGCUUCUCUGAUGUUAGCGGCGGACGGGUGAGUAACACGUGGAUAACCUACCUAUAAGACUGGGAUAACUUCGGGAAACCGGAGCUAAUACCGGAUAAUAUUUUGAACCGCAUGGUUCAAUAGUAAAAGACGGUCUUGCUGUCACUUAUAGAUGGAUCCGCGCUGCAUUAGCUAGUUGGUAAGGUAACGGCUUACCAAGGCAACGAUGCAUAGCCGACCUGAGAGGGUGAUCGGCCACACUGGAACUGAGACACGGUCCGGACUCCUACGGGAGGCAGCAGUAGGGAAUCUUCCGCAAUGGGCGAAAGCCUGACGGAGCAACGCCGCGUAAGUGAUGAAGGUCUUCGGAUCGUAAAACUCUGUUAUUAGGGAAGAACAUAUGUGUAAGUAACUGUGCACAUCUUGACGGUACCUAAUCAGAAAGCCACGGCUAACUACGUG